GUGCUCACUUUAGGAGCACAUAUACUAAAAUUGGAAUGAUACAGAGAAGAUUAGCAUGGCCCCUGCACAAGGAUGACACACAGAUUCAUGGAGUGUUCCAUAUUUUU
ensembl:snRNA U6 U6 spliceosomal RNA